GAGUUUGAUCCUGGCUCAGAUUGAACGUUGGCGGCAGGCCUAAUACAUGCAAGUCGAGCGGUAACAGAUCGCUGUGAUCCCUUCGGGGUGAACUUGAUGCUGACGAGCGGCGGACGGGUGAGUAACGCGUAGGAAUCUACCCAGUAGCGGGGGAUAGCCCGGGGAAACUCGGAUUAAUACCGCAUACGCCCUACGGGGGAAAGGCGGGGAUUUCUUCGGAGACCUGUCACUAUUGGAGGAGCCUGCGUUGGAUUAGCUAGUUGGUGGGGUAAAGGCCCACCAAGGCAACGAUCCAUAGCUGUUCUGAGAGGAAGAUCAGCCACACUGGAACUGAGACACGGUCCAGACUCCUACGGGAGGCAGCAGUAGGGAAUAUUGCACAAUGGGCGAAAGCCUGAUGCAGCCAUGCCGCGUGUGUGAAGAAGGCCUUAGGGUUGUAAAGCACUUUCAGCAGGGAGGAAUUAGCACGGUUAAUACCCGUGUGAAGUGACGUUACCUGCAGAGGAAG
rnacentral:rRNA from 1 species